AGUGAACGCUGGCGGCGUGCUUUACACAUGCAAGUCGGACGAGUGGCGAACGGGUGAGUAACGCAUCGGAACGUACCGAGUAAUGGGGGAUAACUGUCCGAAAGGACAGCUAAUACCGCAUAUUAUUCGAGCGGCCGAUGUCUGAUUAGCUGGUUGGCGGGGUAAAGGCCCACCAAGGCGACGAUCCCUAGCUGGUCUGAGAGGAUGACCAGCCACACUGGAACGGAGACACGGGCCAGAGUCCUACGGGAGGCAGCAGUGGGGAAUAUUGCACAAUGGGCGCAAGCCUGAUGCAGCCAGGCCGCGUGUGUGAAGAAGGCCUUCGGGUUGUAAAGCACUUUCAGCGGGGAGGCGUUACCCGCAGAAGAAGCACCGGCUAACUCCGUGCCAGCAGCCGCGGUAAUUC
rnacentral:rRNA from 1 species